GUUGUUAUAGGUCUCCUCUUUUGGAAUGACACCCUCUCUUCUCUUUGUUGCAGUUGCAUUUUACUUAGAGGAUUUUAUAUAUGAAGCUGCUCAUGUCCACAGUCUACUCAGCGUAGUUUCACCAGUGGGAAUUCUGGCAUUUAUAGUUUCAUACUCUCUUGGAAUGGGAGCCCUUCCAUGGGUUAUAA